CAUUUCGGGGGGUUGGGAGCUCGCGCUGAAUGCUCGGGCUUGCAAGUGGCAAUAUUUUCUAAUUUGCCCUUGCGAUGCAAGUAACUGGGAAGGUUGAAGAGGUGCUUCCCAGUAUCCGCAAACAGGAUGACAAUGACAGUAAUUCUGGAAAAAAGUGCAGGUGCAAAGUAUGAAAUGAAAACAGAGCUGACACCAAGUUAGAAUCAUCAAGGUUGGAAAAGAACCAAGUUCAUCUAGACCAACCUUUGGCCACCACGUUAACUAAACCAUAGCACUAAGUGCUAUAUCACGUCUCUGGACAGCCAAUUCUAAUACUUUUUAACCCUUUUAGUCAGUAAAUGCUUCCUGAUGAAGAAUUCACCUUCAGUAUCCUUCAUCCAGGAUCUCAAAAGUGUCUUAUUUCCCUAAGGCUCACAACAUCUUGUGUGGUACUAUUCCAUUUUAUAGAAGGGUAAACAGAUGCUGGCAACAUGACCAGCAAAGGCACAGAGGACAGUGAACUUCUCUAGCCCUUACACACAGCCCAAGCUGCAGCAAAGCCACCCUGUGCACUGUGCAGACAUGUUACCUGAAGUCAGGUGGGAGACCUUUUCUGGGGAGAGAGGCUUUCCUGGGAGAAGUACUUGCUCUUCUCGUUGUUAUCUGUUCUGCUUUGACUCCUUCCCUGUCCCGAUUUGUACCAGGUUGGGGCCAGCACUGAGCACAGUGCCUGCAAAUGGAUUCUGGUGUGCCUGCCUUUAAUAUGGCUUUUCAUUGCCUGGGGGAGAUAGAUCCUAGCUUUUAUUCAGAUCCCAGAUAAUCCUGUGAUGCAGAAAGUGAGUGGGCAAAACUGGGAAUGAAAGCCAACGCAUGCCGAUGCUCAGGCCGUUUAUCAUCUGUCUUACAGCAAAGGACAAAAGUGGAGGUAGCGGAUGAAAAAUGAGGAGGGUGCCAAAGUAAACAACUUUAGAGAGGUAGGAGGUGCAUGAAGAAGAGAGCAGAUCAACAGCUGCAAUGCCAGGUCAGGCUGACCCAGGGGAAAGUGCUCUCAAGGGACCAUACCCAGAGAAUGCAGAGGUCCCAAAACCAGGCCCCACCAUAAUAACAGCCUCAUCAACUUUCAAAGGACAAGAGGUAAGAG